rnacentral:rRNA from 1 species
UUAGUGCAAUGGCAUAAGCCAGCUUGACUGCGAGCGUGACGGCGCGAGCAGGUGCGAAAGCAGGUCAUAGUGAUCCGGUGGUUCUGAAUGGAAGGGCCAUCGCUCAACGGAUAAAAGGUACUCCGGGGAUAACAGGCUGAUACCGCCCAAGAGUUCAUAUCGACGGCGGUGUUUGGCACCUCGAUGUCGGCUCAUCACAUCCUGGGGCUGAAGUAGGUCCCAAGGGUAUGGCUGUUCGCCAUUUAAAGUGGUACGCGAGCUGGGUUUAGAACGUCGUGAGACAGUUCGGUCCCUAUCUGCCGUGGGCGCUGGAGAACUGAGGGGGGCUGCUCCUAGUACGAGAGGACCGGAGUGGACGCAUCACUGGUGUUCGGGUUGUCAUGCCAAUGGCACUGCCCGGUAGCUAAAUGCGGAAGAGAUAAGUGCUGAAAGCAUCUAAGCACGAAACUUGCCCCGAGAUGAGUUCUCCCUGAGACUUAGAGUCUCCUGAAGGAACGUUGAAGACGACGACGUUGAUAGGCCGGGUGUGUAAGCGCAGCGAUGCGUUGAGCUAACCGGUACUAAUGAACCGUGAGGCUUAACCUUACAACGCCGAAG